rnacentral:rRNA from 1 species
GAAUCUUCCACAAUGGACGAAAGUCUGAUGGAGCAAUGCCGCGUGAGUGAAGAAGGUUUUCGGAUCGUAAAACUCUGUUGUGAGGGAAGAACAAGUACGAGAGUAACUGCUCGUGCCUUGACGGUACCUCAUUAGAAAGCCACGGCUCACUACGUCCCAGCCGCCGAGGUAAUACGGAGGUGGCAAGCGUUGUCCGGAAUUAUUGGGCGUAAAGCGCGCGCAGGCGGUCCCUUAAGUCGGAUGUGAAAGCCCACGGCUCAACCGUGGAAGGUCAUUGGAAACUGGGGGACUUGAGUACAGAAGAGGAAAGCGGAAUUCCAAGUGUAGCGGUGAAAUGUGUAGAGAUUUGGAGGAACACCAGUGGCGAAGGCGGCUUUCUGGUCUGUAACUGACGCUGAGGCGCGAAAGCGUGGGGAGCAAACA